rnacentral:rRNA from 1 species
GACGAACGCUGGCGGCGUGCUUAACACAUGCAAGUCGAACGGAAAGGCCCUGCUUUUGUGGGGUGCUCGAGUGGCGAACGGGUGAGUAACACGUGAGUAACCUGCCCUUGACUUUGGGAUAACUUCAGGAAACUGGGGCUAAUACCGGAUAGGAGCUCCUGCUGCAUGGUGGGGGUUGGAAAGUUUCGGCGGUUGGGGAUGGACUCGCGGCUUAUCAGCUUGUUGGUGGGGUAGUGGCUUACCAAGGCUUUGACGGGUAGCCGGCCUGAGAGGGUGACCGGCCACAUUGGGACUGAGAUACGGCCCAGACUCCUACGGGAGGCAGCAGUGGGGAAUAUUGCACAAUGGGCGGAAGCCUGAUGCAGCAACGCCGCGUGCGGGAUGACGGCCUUCGGGUUGUAAACCGCUUUCGCCUGUGACGAAGCGUGAGUGACGGUAAUGGGUAAAGAAGCACCGGCUAACUACGUGCCAGCAGCCGCGGUGAUACGUAGGGUGCGAGCGUUGUCCGGAUUUAUUGGGCGUAAAGGGCUCGUAGGUGGUUGAUCGCGUCGGAAGUGUAAUCUUGGGGCUUAACCCUGAGCGUGCUUUCGAUACGGGUUGACUUGAGGAAGGUAGGGGAGAAUGGAAUUCCUGGUGGAGCGGUGGAAUGCGCAGAUAUCAGGAGGAACACCAGUGGCGAAGGCGGUUCUCUGGGCCUUUCCUGACGCUGAGGAGCGAAAGCGUGGGGAGCGAACAGGCUUAGAUACCCUGGUAGUCCACGCUGUAAACGGUGGGUACUAGGUGUGGGGUCCAUUCCACGGGUUCCGUGCCGUAGCUAACGCUUUAGGUACCCCGCCUGGGGAGUACGGCCGCAAGGCUAAAACUCAAAGGAAUUGACGGGGCCCCGCACAAGCGGCGGAGCAUGCGGAUUAAUUCGAUGCAACGCGUAGAACCUUACCUGGGUUUGACAUGGAUCGGGAGCGCUCAGAGAUGGGUGUGCCUCUUUUGGGGUCGGUUCACAGGUGGUGCAUGGCUGUCGUCAGCUCGUGUCGUGAGAUGUUGGGUUAAGUCCCGCAACGAGCGCAACCCUUGUUCACUGUUGCCAGCACGUUAUGGUGGGGACUCAGUGGAGACCGCCGGGGUCAACUCGGAGGAAGGUGGGGAUGACGUCAAGUCAUCAUGCCCCUUAUGUCCAGGGCUUCACGCAUGCUACAAUGGCUGGUACAGAGAGUGGCGAGCCUGUGAGGGUGAGCGAAUCUCGGAAAGCCGGUCUCAGUUCGGAUUGGGGUCUGCAACUCGACCUCAUGAAGUCGGAGUCGCUAGUAAUCGCAGAUCAGCAACGCUGCGGUGAAUACGUUCCCGGGGCU